GGUUAAACGGGAUUGAAAUGAAAAUCCUUUUUGUUGCGCAGCAGAAAAAGAUUGGAAUGUAAAGCCCGAGUCACU
rnacentral:sRNA from 1 species